GGUCCAGAAUGAUUUGAUUACCAGACGUGUCUGUUUGAAUCACAUGUCACACCUCACAGGCUAGCUACAUGCUAAAUAAGCAGAUGGUCUUUGAAAAAUGGCAGGGGUUUGUGUGUAUUUAUGAUGUGUUUCCAUGGUGAAGACUAACUAGUGUGUGUUUGUGUGUAGUUCUGAUGUGUUUACAUGGUGAAGACUAGAGUGUGUUUGUUUGUUCUGAUGUGUUUACGUGAUGAAGUCUAGUGUGUGUUUGUGUGUAGUUAUGAUGUUUACGUGGUUAAGACUAGUGUGUGUGUGUGUGUGUGUAGUUAUGAUGUUUACGUGAUGAAGUCUAGUGUGUGUUUGUGUGUAGUUCUGAUGUGUUUCCAUGGUGAAGACUAGUGUGUGUCAUUGUUGGGUUA
ensembl:lncRNA